ACCUUCCUUGGUAGAAUUAAUCGCAGCAAAACACUUUCCCUCAAUCAUUGAGUUUGAGAUGGAUGAUGAACGCAGAGGUGUGUUGUCAAUCUUAAGCGGAGGAGACGGAUGGCUGACUUGUAUUCUUCAAUAACAGAUUUCAAGCAGAAUUUGGGUGAAGAGGCUUUGAUACAUGAGGAAUUAGCAGGAGGAUGGGUUUUGUAUGAGAAACCAUUAAGCCAACUCAAAAUCAUGUCUCUGCUCAGAUUCAUUGCAUCGCCAAGCAAUUGGAUGGUACACUUCCAUUGUUUGAUGCAAUUUUGGAGAGUCGUGAAAGUGGAAGGGAGCCAUCACUACCUCUCUUGUUCACACCAUCCUUUUUAUGUUAGAAACUCUCAACAAGGGAUUAUGUAGGCUCAGGAAGCUAUGUAUCGAUCAGCAGUAUGUUGCCGGAGGAGAUGACGGAGCAGCAGCUUGGAGGCGUGGGACGGGUGUACCGGAACAGGCUACCCGAAUCCACACCGGAUCUGAGACUAUACUCCACCCAUGAAUUUCCGAUGCGGGAUGAAGCUGCUCGCUGCGGUUUCAGAGCUUACAUGGCACUGCCUCUAUUUGAUUCCCACACAUAUCAAUACUAUGGUGUGUUGGAGAUCUUUCAAGGAUAUAAUUCUCUUCAUAUGAUGAAUCAUUUACUAUCUCUGCUGGAUGGAGCACUGCAGUUCGCAGGGUUGAGAUCCAAUCACAAAUCCAUUGCUAUUACAAAAGAAAUGAGGCAGCCUGGAAGUGAAAUAUCAGAGGUACUUGAAUUGGCUAUGGCAGACAAUCCCGCGAAUAUAUCUGGCACAAGUUUGGAUCCCUUGUAACAAGCAAUGUGUUAACAUCCACCAACUUAUGCUGCAUGGAGAUGGUAUCCUUCAUAGAUUCUGAAACUAAGAUAUUCAAUUCGUGGUUUGAUAUUGAUAAUGAUAUGCAUGACUAUCUUCAAGCUUGUGAAUUUCACAAGCUUCAAAUAGAUCUUCACAGUUGCCAUUCAACUUUAUGUGGUCUCACUAUAUCUGAAAAUUCGAUGGCUCACUAUGUCCAACGGGCUAGGAUGUCUCAUUGUAUUGCAGUUUCUCAUCAGAGCAAUGACAAUAAACUACGUCAUUCAAAUUUUUCUUCGACCAAAGUAUACACGAGAUGAUCAUUCUCUACACUUGCUGUUAAGGAUACUGGAGAUCAAUCUCAAGAGUGUGAGUGUAAUGUUUGUAUCUGGAAAAUCACUUCUAGAGGAAUAUGUAAGGCCUGAUGCAAUUGAAUGCGAGUCAAUUGAUAGUUUCAGUUUGAUCAAGUCUUACAAGCAAAACCUUUUGGAGUUGGACAUGACAACAUACUUGAAGACGGUCGACUCAUGUUGCCUAAAACCUUCCUCUGCGGGUACAGACAAAGGAUGGGUUUUUUGCUUGCCAGUUGAACAAAGUGUAUGCGAAGAACAUGUUGAAAGUAACUCGUCGUUGGUCAAGGAGAAGAUGGAAGGUUUAAUGGAGAAAAUAGCAACAAAAUCUUGGAAACACAAUAAUUGGAUAGUCCAAUUUUGGGUCCCAAAAUGGAGAAUGAUAGGUGUUGUCUGAAAACUUCAGAUCAACCUUAUGCUGUUGGCUGUCUUACAAAGGGUGUAGCUUCCUUUAGGAAACAAUGUAUGGAAAAUUACUAUUUUGUUGACGACAAAGCCAAACAAGAUGAACUCGGACCCCCUGGACGUGUCUUCAGAUUCAAACAUCCUGAAAUUAGCCCUGACCUCUUCUACUACACUAGAGAAGAAUUUCCAAUAAGAAACUUUGCUAUGCUUUGUUGCAAUCGUGGAUACUUGGCUUUGCCUGUAUUUGAGAAUGAAGGUAUAGGAAAUCACAAGAUUGUGGGUGUGCUAGAGUUCCUAGGAUUUUAUUAUUCUGACCUUCCAAUCAUCAAAAACUAAUGGAGGUAUCAUCUCUUGCCAUUUUUGACUUGUUAUUAUAUACUAAAAUUGUUGUGAAAACAAUGUACCUGUCAAUGCAGGCAACAAAACUAUGCUCGACUCACAUAGACUACCACCCGGGAUUCUUAGCAAAUGAACUGUCAAUGUCAAUAUUUUCAAUGGCGCGGAAAAAGCUUUGACCGAAAUCGAUCAUGUCCUUAACAUAAUCAACCCAUUCCCCAACUCCAUAUGGCAAAUGUUUGGGUCCCUACGGGAGAUUGUGGUAGUACUACUAAUA